GGCACGGUGGCAUAGUGGUUAGCACUGUUGCCUCACAGCAAGAAGGUUGUGGGUUCGAGUCCGGCCUGGGGACCU